GAUGAACGCUGGCGGCGUGCCUAAUACAUGCAAGUCGAGCGAACGGACGAGAAGCUUGCUUCUCUGAUGUUAGCGGCGGACGGGUGAGUAACACGUGGAUAACCUACCUAUAAGACUGGGAUAACUUCGGGAAACCGGAGCUAAUACCGGAUAAUAUUUUGAACCGCAUGGUUCAAAAGUGAAAGACGGUCUUGCUGUCACUUAUAGAUGGAUCCGUGCUGCAUCAGCUAGUUGGUAAGGUAACGGCUUACCAAGGCAACGAUGCAUAGCCGACCUGAGAGGGUGAUCGGCCACACUGGAACUGAGACACGGUCCAGACUCCUACGGGAGGCAGCAGUAGGGAAUCUUCCGCAAUGGGCGAAAGCCUGACGGAGCAACGCCGCGUGAGUGAUGAAGGUCUUCGGAUCGUAAAACUCUGUUAUUAGGGAAGAACAUAUGUGUAAGUAACUGUGUACAUCUUGACGGUACCUAAUCAGAAAGCCACGGCUAACUACGU
rnacentral:rRNA from 1 species